CAUUGGCUUUAACAGAACAUUUUUUUCACUUAAAACUGUGGAUAGGCCUAGGCUAAGGUCAGAAAUAAACUAAGCAUCUGUGUUCUACUUAUUUGAUAUGCUUCAAGUUACUCAAGGUUAUUGCUAUUGGAACUGAACACCAACAUAUCUCUCAAGUAGCUGGUUUAGCAUGUAAUCCCAUUUGUGUAUUUUUUAUUUUUAUUUUUUACAUUACGUGUAGGUUAAUUUGUUUAUUUCCUAUAAACUUGUAUUUAUGUGUAUAUAAAAUGCUGUACAAUGAAUGUAAAUAUGACUUUCUGGAAAGUUUUAGACUACAUUUAGAAUCCCUUUAUCCAAAAUCAAAAUGCUGCUCAAAUGAAAGUUAAUUUGACCGACAUCUAGGUGCUUAAUUUCUUGGUUUAUCCACUUAUGAGACUGGAAAAAAAUAUUAAUAUGAGAAAUACAUAGAUACCUUAAAUUUGUACAUUUGUGCAACACUAUUUUUGAGAAAGUUUAGAGUGGGAAUUUAACUGGCAAUGUAUAGUAUAGCUCACAGCUUUUAAAAGACCUUUUAAAGAGAUUAAAUAUAAACUGUUAAAAUUAUAUGUUUAGAUUUUGUUUUCAGAUUUUAUAAUAAAACACUUUAAAAAAUCACAAGUUAUAUAUUAUUUUAUAGGCCUUUAGCUUGUUAAUUAAAAGCACUGGAUUUUAAAGUUUCCUUUGAUUUAAGAACAAUUAUUUAAAAUAGUCCUAGAAGACAGGAUCUUCAUUUCUAGGAAAGGUAAACAAGUCUGCUUUUUUGAUAAUGAUAUGUUACACUAAGAAAAGGAAAAUGUGGAUAGUAAAAUCUACAUUAUCCUAUUUUGCUUUCUUCUGCUUUUUAGAAGUCUGAAUUCUUAAGUUCAAAUUUGUAAAGAGAGAGAAGUAGAAGGGGUGGGGCAGUAUUUUGUUUUAUUUAUUUUUCUAAAACUCUUACUAAAUCCAAAUUUUAAAAGCUGUUUUAAAUAUGAAUCCUUCCCAGCACCUUCAAUAUAUUGCUUAUAUAUUUAACCUUCAGCAUAUUUUACAUAAUAGAUCACGAAGUCAAAGGCUUUCAAGAUAUAGGAAGAGAUCUUACAGGUCUAGUAUUUUAAUAAUAUACCAAUACCGAAGGCAGGUAUUAUUAUGAGGAUUUUUUUUUUUUUUAAGAAUGAAUAAGGCUUUAUGGAGGACUUUUGUUUUUUUAACAUGUGAGAAAUGAAUUUGUGAUUUUUGCCGAGUGAAGGAAGAGAGAAAAGUGUUGCUACUGUUAGCAUCUGAAAGGUAUUCCCAAUCAAGGCAAGGCUUAGUGCUUUGUAACAGUAUUAAGCAAGUCCUGCUUUGAAUGGAUUACCUGUAAUGACUAAUUGGAAUGAUAUAAUUAUACAAGUAAUUCCAAAAAGCAAGUCAAAGCCUAAUAUCCAAAGCACUCAUAUUUAAAAUUUAUUCAUUAUAUCAUGUUUGGCCUAUUUAUCUCAGCACUGUAAAAUAGUUUGGUUUUAUGGCAUAUGGGUAGCUGUUUAAUAAUGAAUGAAAGUUAGCUUUUUCCUUCUCAGCUUUUUUGAAUCAUACAAGUUCAAUUCAUUCUGACUGGGGAGACAUUACCACAGUAUGAUUUAGGGGUUUUGUGAAAGAAAACUUGAGUUCAUCUAAAGCCAUCUCUAGAAUUCUAUUCAGAUAAAGAUUUAUGUGUUUUUAUCAGCUUUGUAUAUUUUAUCUUAACGAGUCUUUCCUAGAGAGAUUUUAAUGGGAGCUUAAAAUGUAAAUAAAUAAUUUUGCAAACAUGC